rnacentral:rRNA from 1 species
UCGCAGAUCAGCAUGCUGCGGUGAAUACGUUCCCGGGCCUUGUACACACCGCCCGUCACACCAUGGGAGUCGGUAACACCCAAAGUUGGUAGCCUAACCGCAAGGAGGGCGCCGCCUAAGGUGGGAUUGAUGACUGGGGUGAAGUCGUAACAAGGUACC